UUUUAAUCAGGGCUGUUUAUACUUUUCAGGGCUGCCAUCUGCCUAUAUUUUAAAAAUCAAAUAAAGAAAUGUGACAUUGCCCAUUCUUUUUGUGUUUAAAACCACAUGAAGAUUGACAGAUACAAAAUUAAACAUUUAGAUACUCUGUUUCUUUAAAACUCUCACGAACUCAGUUUAUUUAAGCAACUCUAGGACCUCCUACAAAACUGUAGUCUAAAAAACAGGGGAAAAUCAACUAUUCAAAUUUCAAGUUGUACUGUGGCAGUGUUUAAUUUUCUAAAAUGAAAUACGUCAACUUAAAAAAUUAAGCCCAGAACUUUAUGGAGCACCUUAAAUUGUCCCCUUCUUUCUCUAAUUGAUCUCCAAACCCUUACAGUUCAAAUUCAAAGUUUGUUUUCAAUAAAGGAGAAAAUCAACACCACAGGGUGCUCUGAACUCCAAGAGAUUUCUUCUUCUUUUUUUUUUUUGGCUCUCAUUCAGAAAACUAAA
rnacentral:lncRNA from 1 species